GUGGGGAAUAUUGCACAAUGGACGAAAGUCUGAUGCAGCAACGCCGCGUGGAGGAUGACACAUUUCGGUGCGUAAACUCCUUUUAUAUAGGAAGAUAAUGACGGUACUAUAUGAAUAAGCACCGGCUAACUCCGUGCCAGCAGCCGCGGUAAUACGGAGGGUGCAAGCGUUACUCGGAAUCACUGGGCGUAAAGAGCGUGUAGGCGGGUAUAUAAGUCAGAAGUGAAAUCCAAUAGCUCAACUAUUGAACUGCUUUUGAAACUGUAUACCUAGAAUGUGGGAGAGGUAGAUGGAAUUUCUGGUGUAGGGGUAAAAUCCGUAGAGAUCAGAAGGAAUACCGAUUGCGAAGGCGAUCUACUGGAACAUUAUUGACGCUGAGACGCGAAAGCGUGGGGAGCAAACAGG
rnacentral:rRNA from 1 species